rnacentral:rRNA from 1 species
UGGGGAAUUUUGGACAAUGGGCGCAAGCCUGAUCCAGCCAUGCCGCGUGCAGGAUGAAGGCCCUCGGGUUGUAAACUGCUUUUGUACGGAACGAAAAGCCUCUUUCUAAUAAAGAGGGGUGAUGACGGUACCGUAAGAAUAAGCACCGGCUAACUACGUGCCAGCAGCCGCGGUAAUAAGUAGGGUGCGAGCGUUAAUCGGAAUUACUGGGCGUAAAGCGUGCGCAGGCGGUCUUGCAAGACAGUGGUGAAAUCCCCGGGCUCAACCUGGGAACUGCCAUUGUGACUGCAAGGCUGGAGUACGGCAGAGGGGGCUGGAAUUCCGCGUGUAGCAGUGAAAUGCGUAGAUAUGCGGAGGAACACCGAUGGCGAAGGCAGUCCCCUGGGCCUGUACUGACGCUCAUGCACGAAAGCGUGGGGAGCAAACA